rnacentral:rRNA from 1 species
UAGAUACCCUGGUAGUCCACGCCGUAAACGAUGAUAACUAGCUGUUCGGGCUCAUAGAGCUUGAGUGGCGCAGCUAACGCAUUAAGUUAUCCGCCUGGGGAGUACGGUCGCAAGAUUAAAACUCAAAGGAAUUGACGGGGGCCUGCACAAGCGGUGGAGCAUGUGGUUUAAUUCGAAGCAACGCGCAGAACCUUACCAGCGUUUGACAUCCUUGUCGCGGUUUCCAGAGAUGGAUUCCUUCAGUUCGGCU